CUUCGGCUGCGCUGUGGCUCCUCUCUCAAGGGACAGCGUAGGCCCUGGGGGUCAGUUGGAGAGGGCUCUGGCUGCCAGCGACUGCUCUGGGGGUGUCUGCGACCAAGGACAAUCCUGGGCUUCUCCUGGGGCGUGGGCAGUUCUGCCUACCAGACAGAGGGCGCCUGGGACCAGGACGGGAAAGGGCCCAGCAUCUGGGACGUCUUCACACACAGUGGGAAGGGGAAGGUGCUCGGGAAUGAGACUGCAGAUGUAGCCUGUGACAGCUACUACAAGGUCCAGGAGGACAUCAUUCUGCUGAGGGAACUGCACGUCAACCACUACCGAUUCUCCCUGUCUUGGCCCCGGCUCCUGCCCACAGGCAUCCGAGGUGAGCUAGGGAAGUCCCUCCCGAGCCCAGGUGCAGCCCCUUCCGGCCAUGUUGGCUUUGCGGGGGCACCACAGAGUCCUGGGGAGGGAGAUCAGCCCAUGAACGUGGUUGCUGAUGGUAGCAGCUCUCACAGGUUCUGCAGCUGAGCAGGUGAACAAGAAGGGAAUCAAAUUCUACAGUGAACUUAUCGAUGCCCUUCUG
rnacentral:sRNA from 1 species